GCCGGAGGCAAGCCCAGCCACCGGCGAGGCUCGGCCUCGCCAGAUCUGGCGAUGCCCAGCCUCGCCGGUGGCUGGGCUUGCCUCCGGC
rnacentral:pre_miRNA from 1 species